AAAUUUAUGCAAUGAGCUGAUAAUGAGCUUAAGAAUCAGCAUUUUCUACGUGAGAAUACUCAUAGUAAAAUGAAACAAUUCGCUAAAUUUUACAGGAAAUACAAUCACAAGUCCCCAGUCUCAAUAUUGACAAGUUGAAUUGAAGGAACAAAAGUUCAGUUAAUAAAAAAGCUCAGACCAUUAGAAAAAAAUCAAGUUCUAAAGUUAAUUGUUGAAAGCUAAAUGAACCAGGAUAUAACUCCAGUGUAAGAAUCCAAAUCCUCAAUGGAAACACAAUCACAAGUACUCAAU
rnacentral:misc_RNA from 1 species